rnacentral:rRNA from 1 species
GAUGAACGCUAGCUACAGGCUUAACACAUGCAAGUCGAGGGGCAGCAUGGUCUUAGCUUGCUAAGGCCGAUGGCGACCGGCGCACGGGUGAGUAACACGUAUCCAACCUGCCGUCUACUCUUGGACAGCCUUCUGAAAGGAAGAUUAAUACAAGAUGGCAUCAUGAGUCCACAUGUUCACAUGAUUAAAGGUAUUCCGGUAGACGAUGGGGAUGCGUUCCAUUAGAUAGUAGGCGGGGUAACGGCCCACCUAGUCUUCGAUGGAUAGGGGUUCUGAGAGGAAGGUCCCCCACAUUGGAACUGAGACACGGUCCAAACUCCUACGGGAGGCAGCAGUGAGGAAUAUUGGUCAAUGGGCGAGAGCCUGAACCAGCCAAGUAGCGUGAAGGAUGACUGCCCUAUGGGUUGUAAACUUCUUUUAUAAAGGAAUAAAGUCGGGUAUGCAUACCCGUUUGCAUGUACUUUAUGAAUAAGGAUCGGCUAACUCCGUGCCAGCAGCCGCGGUAAUACGGAGGAUCCGAGCGUUAUCCGGAUUUAUUGGGUUUAAAGGGAGCGUAGAUGGAUGUUUAAGUCAGUUGUGAAAGUUUGCGGCUCAACCGUAAAAUUGCAGCUGAUACUGGAUAUCUUGAGUGCAGUUGAGGCAGGCGGAAUUCGUGGUGUAGCGGUGAAAUGCUUAGAUAUCACGAAGAACUCCGAUUGCGAAGGCGGCCUGCUAAGCUGCAACUGACAUUGAGGCUCGAAAGUGUGGGUAUCAAACAGGAUUAGAUACCCUGGUAGUCCACACGGUAAACGAUGAAUACUCGCUGUUUGCGAUAUACUGCAAGCGGCCAAGCGAAAGCGUUAAGUAUUCCACCUGGGGAGUACGCCGGCAACGGUGAAACUCAAAGGAAUUGACGGGGGCCCGCACAAGCGGAGGAACAUGUGGUUUAAUUCGAUGAUACGCGAGGAACCUUACCCGGGCUUAAAUUGCAGAUGAAUUACGGUGAAAGCCGUAAGCCGCAAGGCAUCUGUGAAGGUGCUGCAUGGUUGUCGUCAGCUCGUGCCGUGAGGUGUCGGCUUAAGUGCCAUAACGAGCGCAACCCUUGUUGUCAGUUACUAACAGGUUCCGCUGAGGACUCUGACAAGACUGCCAUCGUAAGAUGUGAGGAAGGUGGGGAUGACGUCAAAUCAGCACGGCCCUUACGUCCGGGGCUACACACGUGUUACAAUGGGGGGUACAGAGGGCCGCUACCACGCGAGUGGAUGCCAAUCCCCAAAACCUCUCUCAGUUCGGACUGGAGUCUGCAACCCGACUCCACGAAGCUGGAUUCGCUAGUAAUCGCGCAUCAGCCACGGCGCGGUGAAUACGUUCCCGGGCCUUGUACACACCGCCCGUCAAGCCAUGGGAGCCGGGGGUACCUGAAGUGCGUAACCGCGAGGAGCGCCCUAGGGUAAAACUGGUGACUGGGGC